rnacentral:rRNA from 1 species
CCUACGGGAGGCAGCAGUGAGGAAUAUUGGUCAAUGGACGCAAGUCUGAACCAGCCAUGCCGCGUGCAGGAAGACGGCUCUAUGAGUUGUAAACUGCUUUUGUACGAGGGUAAAUCCCGAUACGUGUAUCGGGUUGAAAGUAUCGUACGAAUAAGGAUCGGCUAACUCCGUGCCAGCAGCCGCGGUAAUACGGAGGAUUCAAGCGUUAUCCGGAUUUAUUGGGUGUAAAGGGUGCGUAGGCGGUGCGAUAAGUUAGAGGUGAAAUCCCGAGGCUCAACUUCGGCAUUGCCUCUGAUACUGUUGGGAUAGAGAGUAGUUGCGGUAGGCGGAAUGUAUGGUGUAGCGGUGAAAUGCUUAGAGAUCAUACAGAACACCGAUUGCGAAGGCAGCUUACCAAGCUACGUCUGACGUUGAGGCACGAAAGCGUGGGGAGCAAACAGGAUUAGAUACCCUGGUAGUC